CAAAGAUAAGUAAAUUAUCUUAUGAAUAAUUUUUAAACCAUAUUUAAACAGAGUAUUUAGAAAAAUAGAAGAGUGGUUAUAAUAAACAACUAAAAGAGAGUAAUUAAAAGAGAAUAACUUACAUAUUUAAGAACAGAUGAAUAGUUCCAGCACUACAAUUCUUGCAGGUUGCAGAACUGUAGAACCAAGCUGCAAGAAGGAAGGAAGAAGACAAGCCGGAAACCGAAACCGGUCGAAGUAAAGCGGGAUAAAGAACUAGAAAGAGCGUCCAUAUUGUUUUUAAAUUGUAUAAUAAAUUUAAAUAACUUCUAAUAUUUUGUGAAAGGUUUUCAGCCUCUUCGCGGGGCUUAAUUUUAUUGUAGUGCUAAAGAGGUACCUCAUCAAGAUGUCUCGAUAUUCAGACUGUAAAGUAUAUGUUGGAGAUUUAGGAAAUAGUGCCUCUAAACAGGAAAUCGAAGAUGCUUUUAAAUAUUAUGGACCGCUACGAAACGUUUGGGUAGCCAGGAAUCCACCCGGCUUUGCUUUUGUAGAGUUCGAAGACGCCAGAGACGCAGAAGAUGCUAUUCGAGGAUUAGAUGGCCGGACGAUAUGUGGGCGAAGAGCUAGAGUCGAGAUGUCCAAUGGGAAGAGCGGUAAUGGACGUUACCGCGGCCCCCCUCCCCGAUCUCGUGGAAAACCAUUUCACCCGGAUGACAGGUGCUAUGAUUGCGGAGAUAGAGGACACUAUGCUAGAGACUGCAACAGAUACAGAUCGUCGAGGAGGCAUAGGUUAAGAGUCUGUGGACAGUAGACAGGUAAAUCACAAUCACUCGUCUAGUACGCCUAGUUGUUGUCUCCCACUGACUUCGUAGACUUCCACGUAGAAUUUCAUCGUUCUCUACUACGACCUGCACACAAUGCAAAAUGUAUCAGUAUGAUCAAAAUGAGAAAAAACUACUGUGAGCCAGUGAGAGAUAGCCGAUUCAAUAUUUGGGCAUGACCCUCUAAGCUCCUAGCUCCUACAAAUACUCUACAAUUGAGAUUGAUAACUCUUCUAUCUACAAUGUUUACGUCACGACUACUAGUGCUUAUGAGCCCUGUCACAAUAAAAAAUGAUCCAGAUCUCGUUCUAGAAGCCGUUCCAGAGACCGUCGUUCGAGAAGCAGGAGCAACACCCGUUCCAGGAGCCGCUCCAGGAACCGUUCCAGAUCCGAUUCUAGGAAGAGAAGCCACAGUCGCUCGCGCAGCAACGAAAAACGCUCAAGAUCUAGAUCAGCUCGCUCUAGAUCUAGAUCGCAUAGCAGAUCUGUCAAAGAAAACGGCAACGCGAAAGAUUAGUGUAACAAAAGGGGAUUACAAACAUCCCCGAAAUUCUACUGAAUGUUUCUCAAUGUCGUAGACAUCCUCCGCAAGAUUUCGAUGAGGACGGUGUUUGGAUUUGUUCCACUUCUGUUUGAUUAACAGAUAUGGUUGUUGUUAAUGCACCUGUUGUUGGAUGUUAUAUGUAACAAAAAUCGUCCUCAGUGUUCCUAAAUUCUUGAUAGACUAGGACUAGACAUCAAUAACAAGCUAAGUGGCACAGAGUCAAACUUUUAUUUUGGAGAAAAAUUUUAAUUUAUUCAAUUUAAAUUCACUUUAAAGUCCCAUCUUCCCAGAUAGCCAGUGUUUUGACAUGAUUAGAAAUAUUGACAUAAAAACCUUGAACCGAUUCUUCUUCGCUGAUAUAUUUACCAAAGAAUAUAGACGUUAAUAGAAGGCUACUGCCCUGAACGUUUCAGCAUAGGAUUUUGUGUUCCUACUGAGUAGGUGCAUGUGGCCUGACACGACUACAGUAUUUUCAAGAGACAAAUAAACGUGACCAUCUGUUCCAUUCAAACUCUUCUUCUAGGAGAGUAUAUUAUAUUCUUUGUAUUUAUUUCCAAUGUGAAUAUCAAUUUGUGGUUACUACAUUGUAACCUAUUUUUAAUUGCUGAUUAUAUCUAUUAAACUGACGUCACAAUGUUUUGCACUAGCACCAAAUCUAUUCCGAAGUAUUGUUGGUCCUUCCAGCAACAAAAUAUGAUUGUUUUGUGUGUCUCUAGAUGACUAUUUGUGUGUUUUUGUUAAUCCUUAUAUAAUGGGACGAUCACGCUUCUUAAUCUAGUGGAUGUCGGUUCCAGGUAUUCCUAGCUUGUCUAAAUAGAAUGUUCGUCAACAGGUUCAACAUAUUUUUAAUGUUCUAUGAAAAUAACAUGACAUCGCGCUGAGUUCAGUUUCGAUUCAGCAUACUUUUUAACUCAAUUUCUUCUAUUUUGUGGCAAUUUGUUAUUGAUGUCCAGUUUUUAUAUAUUUGACUCACCAUGAAAGGCAUCAGACAUUGACAUUAUGACUUUGAUUCACCUAAUACGCAGUAAAAGAAUACGGUAGAUCGUAUAUUGUUGUUUUCAGUACAAUUUGAAUACUCUUGAUGGAAUCUCAAAAUAACUUACUCUAUGAAGUAACGAUGAUGAAUUUUAUCUGUAGAUAUUCUCAAAUUGACUCUCACAUACUUGUGGUGACUUUCAAACAAAUUCGUAGCACCGUAACGUAUCUACAUGAACUAAAUAUUGGAAAUGGGAACAAAAUAGUUUUGCCACUUGUAUUACUGUAGUAAAAGUCAUCUAAAGUCUAAAGCAAGUGUCAACGCAUGUAGUUCUGGCUAAUUGUGUUUCCGAUGACUUUUAUUGUAGCUAUGCACAUGAAAAGCCGUUUCUCACCUUGUCCAAUAUUUACUUCAAGUAUAGGUUUGAAUUUUUAUGAAUUGGGGCUUUUUUUAUCCUACAAACUAUGUCAAGCCAAAGCCGCCAUCUGUUGGCUAGUUUUUGUACUUGUAAUAACAUCUCACAUAUCUUAACACUAGUUUAAACAUGAGAAAUGUAACGUUUUUCUCAAGUAUUGUUAAAAAUCUUCAAAAUUGGCCAUUUUUGAUAAUGAUUUGAUAGGAUAAAUACAUCAACAAUUAUGAGCAGUCUAAAAAUUCAUAUUAUGUGAUCUUAAUUUCAAGGUUGUUGAGUAUCUGUGAAUUGUAAAAAA
rnacentral:misc_RNA from 1 species